AGAAUUCGGAGCGGCAAACUCCUCCUCCCAUUGCCUCUCCGAUAUGAUGGAUGGUUCUCCUCCUCCCAACCAUUCAUCGCUACAAAUGACGCCCGCUGGAUCCUCCUCCCCCAGCGGGCGUUAUUU
rnacentral:sRNA from 1 species